CCUACGGGAGGCAGCAGUGGGGAAUAUUGCACAAUGGGCGCAAGCCUGAUGCAGCGACGCCGCGUGAGCGAAGAAGUAUUUCGGUAUGUAAAGCUCUAUCAGCAGGGAAGAAAAUGACGGUACCUGACUAAGAAGCUCCGGCUAAAUACGUGCCAGCAGCCGCGGUAAUACGUAGGGGGCAAGCGUUAUCCGGAUUUACUGGGUGUAAAGGGGGCGCAGACGGCGAUGCAAGCCAGGAGUGAAAGCCCGGGGCCCAACCCCGGGACUGCUCUUGGAACUGCGUGGCUAGAGUGCAGGAGGGGCAG
rnacentral:rRNA from 1 species